UACGAGGGGGGGCGAGCGUUGUUCGGAAUUAUUGGGCGUAAAGAGCUCGUAGGCGGCUCGGUAAGUCGGGUGUGAACCUCCAGGCUCAACCUGGAGACGCCACCCGAUACUGCUGUGGCUAGAGUCCGGUAGGGGAGCGUGGAAUUCCUGGUGUAGCGGUGAAAUGCGCAGAUAUCAGGAGGAACACCAGCGGCGAAGGCGGCGCUCUGGGCCGGAACUGACGCUGAGGAGCGAAAGCGUGGGGAGCAAACAGG
rnacentral:rRNA from 1 species